GGAGAUGGGACUUAGAAACAAGCCUAAAGGAGAAAGGGGCACCGGAAAGCUUCUCUGUAUCCUGAUUGGCCCUUCUUGCUCCAGGAACUCUAGUACCACACUGGAGACAGGACACUAGUUCUCUUCUCAGCUCAGGCCUGGAUUUCUAGGUGAGGCCAGGAGUCAUUUCCGCUUUGGGGGCCUGGGGCUCAUGGGGAGAAAAGGGAUGAUAUGCAUCUCUGGCCGUCCUGAUUCACAGGGUUAUCCAAGCAUGAGGUGGGGCCUUUUGCAAAGCAGACAUGCCCAUUUCUGUCCAGACACAGUUCAGGCGGGCAGUGGGCGGCUGCAGCCUGUCCUUACAUGGGGCUGAAGGGGCCCAGCCACCCAGUGACUCACUCACUUACCCUGCCAGCUGAAACCUAGGCCCCACCCUUCCCUUCUCCUGCCACCCACAAAGCCCCUUCACAUAGCAGUCUCAGAGACUAAGGUAAGG
rnacentral:lncRNA from 1 species